AGAAACCAUGUGGUCCUACAGGAGAAUGCACAGCAUGUGAGCAGAUUUAUAGCUCUUGCCAACGUUGGCAAUACAAGCAAGAAAAAGUAUCUCUAUGCAUUUAGUAUUCUCCCAAUGCGCUCAAUGGACCCUGCAGAGCUAGUGAAACAGCCACAGGAUGUCACUGAAAACCCAUAUCAGAAAUCUGGGAAAGAGGCACAUCAGCCAAAGAUGCUCUCAGGUGCAGAGGAAGAACCAGCUUGUCAGUUUUUCUUUGAUUUGAGCAAACAGCAUGGAAAGAAGCGGCCAUCAGAUGGAAAGGGGGGACAGCAUUCCCAGCUCAAGCAGCCUAAGAAAAUC